UUUCUUCAUUUUCUUUUGUUGGGUUUGCUCUUGAUUGUACUUUACGACUAGCAAACAAUUCCAGCAACCGAAUAAGCAAGUAAAAGGUCUCAAAAAACGAUGCUGUUCGUACACUGCCUGAUAUUAUUUGCUUUCGUUUGUGGGAUUUUCAGCGAGACAAUCGAGACUCCCGAUCCAACAGCAACAUGUCCUAUCAGUCUUCCUCAGGAUGUACCAURGGACUCACAGUGUUAUCGCAAGCGGCA